GACGAACGCUGGCGGCGUGCCUAAUACAUGCAAGUCGAACGCAGUGGGGACGGGUGAGUAACACGUGGGUAACCUCCCAUCAGAGGGGAUAACACUUGGAAACAGCUGCUAAACCGAUACUGUUGUAUGGACCCUCUGUGCAUUAGCUAGUUGGUGAGGUAACGGCUCACAAAGGCCACGAUGCAUAGCCGAGCUGAGAGGGGGAUAGGCCACACUGGGACUGAGACACGGCCCAGACUCCUACGGGAGGCAGCAGUAGGGAAUCUUGGGCAAUGGACGAAAGUCUGACCGAGCAACGCCGCGUGAGUGAAGAAGGUUUUCGGAUCGUAAAGCUCUGUUGUUAGAGAAGCGGGAAAUAAAGAAAAAGCCACGGCUAACUACGUGCCAGCAGCCGCGGUAAUUG
rnacentral:rRNA from 1 species